rfam:Neurospora crassa OR74A linkage group V, whole genome shotgun sequence.
GGUUGUGUAGUGUAGUGGUUAUCACUCUGGAUUUUGAAGCACAUUCAAAUUCUUCCAGUAACCCCGGUUCGAACCCGGGCACGACCU